GCUCUGGUGACCUGAACUGGUGUUUGGUCAGGACUUCAAAUCCUGGGGUGUCGAGAGGCACAGGCGUUCGAUUCGCCCUCUGGAGC
rfam:Stylonychia lemnae strain 130c genome assembly, contig: Contig15623